GACGAACGCUGGCGGCGUGCUUAACACAUGCAAGUCGAACGGAAAGGCCCUGCUUUUGUGGGGUGCUCGAGUGGCGAACGGGUGAGUAACACGUGAGUAACCUGCCCUUGACUUUGGGAUAACUUCAGGAAACUGGGGCUAAUACCGGAUAGGAGCUCCUGCUGCAUGGUGGGGGUUGGAAAGUUUCGGCGGUUGGGGAUGGACUCGCGGCUUAUCAGCUUGUUGGUGGGGUAGUGGCUUACCAAGGCUUUGACGGGUAGCCGGCCUGAGAGGGUGACCGGCCACAUUGGGACUGAGAUACGGCCCAGACUCAUACGGGAGGCAGCAGUGGGGAAUAUUGCACAAUGGGCGGAAGCCUGAUGCAGCAACGCCGCGUGCGGGAUGACGGCCUUCGGGUGGGAAACCGCUUUCGCCUGUGACGAAGCGUGGGUGACGGUAAUGGGUAAAGAAGCACCGGCUAACUACGU
rnacentral:rRNA from 1 species